rnacentral:rRNA from 1 species
UACGGGGGGUGCGAGCGUUGUCCGGAAUCACUGGGCGUAAAGGGUCGCGUAGGCGGGUCUUUAAGUCAGGGGUGAAAUCCUGGAGCUCAACUCCAGAACUGCCUUUGAUACUGAGGAUCUUGAGUACGGGAGAGGUGAGUGGAACUGCGAGUGUAGAGGUGAAAUUCGUAGAUAUUCGCAAGAACACCAGUGGCGAAGGCGGCUCACUGGCCCGUAACUGACGCUGAGGCACGAAGGUCAGGGGAGGCAACGGG